CCUGGUGGCGAGUGGCGAACGGGUGAGUAAAGUAUCGGAACGUGCCCAGUCGUGGGGGAUAACGUAGCGAAAGCUACGCUAAUACCGCAUACGAUCUAUGGAUGAAAGCGGGGGACCGUAAGGCCUCGCGCGAUUGGAGCGGCCGAUAUCAGAUUAGGUAGUUGGUGGGGUAAAGGCCCACCAAGCCGACGAUCCGUAGCUGGUCUGAGAGGACGACCAGCCACACUGGAACUGAGACACGGUCCAGACUCCUACGGGAGGCAGCAGUGGGGAAUUUUGGACAAUGGGCGCAAGCCUGAUCCAGCCAUACCGCGUGAGUGAAGAAGGCCUUCGGGUUGUAAAGCUCUUUCAGCCGGAAAGAAAUCGUGCAGGUUAAUAACCUGUAUGGAUGACGGUACCGGAAGAAGAAGCACCGGCUAACUACGUGCCAGCAGCCGCGGUAAUACGUAGGGUGCGAGCGUUAAUCGGAAUUACUGGGCGUAAAGCGUGCGCAGGCGGUUUUGUAAGACAGACGUGAAAUCCCCGGGCUUAACCUGGGAACUGCGUUUGUGACUGCAAGGCUAGAGUGCGGCAGAGGGGGGUAGAAUUCCACGUGUAGCAGUGAAAUGCGUAGAUAUGUGGAGGAAU
rnacentral:rRNA from 1 species